rnacentral:snRNA from 1 species
AGCCGAGUAGUGAACACAACGCGAACUAUUCUUUCGCCUUUUACUAAAGAAUACCGUGUGUUCGUUACUUAAAUCGGCAUACGCCAAUUUUUGUACAGUUUCUUUCCUUUGGAGAGAAC